rnacentral:rRNA from 1 species
GACGUAGGGCGCGAGCGUUGUCCGGAUUUAUUGGGCGUAAAGAGCUCGUAGGCGGCUUGUCGCGUCGACUGUGAAAUCCCGCGGCUCAACUGCGGGUCUGCAGUCGAUACGGGCAGGCUAGAGUUCGGUGAGGGGAGACUGGAAUUCCUGGUGUAGCGGUGAAAUGCGCAGAUAUCAGGAGGGAACACCGGUGGCGAAGGCGGGUCUCUGGGCCGAUACUGACGCUGAGGAGCGAAAGCGUGGGGAGCGAACAGG